UUUUUUUUACAAAGUUGUGACUGCCUUUAUCUCGGAUGGCAGCGUACAAACUAAAAAAAGAAAACGAAGAACAACUGUUACAGGAGAAGUUAAUGAAAUAGCUGUGCUAGCAGCUGUUCACCACAACCCACAGAUGAGUCUACAUUCACAAACCAUGGUGGCGUUAAUCGACAUAACAUGCAUUACUGGAGUGUAGAAAAUCCCCACUGGUUACGACAAGUUAAACAUCAACGUCCUUAGUCGGUUAACGUUUGGUGUGGAAUCAUAGGGAACAGACUCAUUGGUCCUUAUUUUAUUGAAGCAUGACGGUUGCCCAGCGC